AAAAAAAAAAAAUAGAAGCUCUUGCAUAGUUUUUUGUAAUAGCCCUUUCCAUGAACUUUUUGAAGACACCUCAUGUUUCUGGUGAAUAUUAAAUGAAUGGUAAUAGUGAUGAUGAUGAUGAUGAUGAUGAUGACAAUAAUGAAGAUAGUUUACAUUUAUUUCAUAUUUGCUAGGUUGUAGGAAUUCAAUUUGCAUAUAUUACUUGAUCCUCAUAACACUCUAGUGAAGUAGAAAUAAAAUUUCCAUGUUGGAGAAAAUCACAAACUUAUACAGAUAGCAUGGAGAAAAGAUGUGACUUGAGCCAGUUCUGAAAAAUUCAAAAACCACCAUAAUGCAUGCUCUUUCCGCAUUUUAAUUAAUGCAUGAUAAUUGGACUCUAUUUGAACCUCGGUUCAUAUGAAAUUAAAUAGGUUUCUUUAGCACAUUGAACACCUCUGCCUCCCCCUCCCCAUUUGCCAGCUUCGUGGUUUUGGCACCCCAAAUGGUCAUCAAUGAAGCACUCUGGAAAGCAGAGGUGAGGACGCAGAUACCUGUUUCCUGCAAUGUCAAUAGCUUUCCAUCCCCAUGAAACAACAACAUAGAUAUCAAGAUUUACCUGCAUUUUAUACCCAUCAAAUCAAUAUAAAAAGAUGAGGAGAAAAAUUCUGCUGCUUCGGUGGAAUGAGAAUGAGCCAUGUUUUACAGUAAUGCCAAUAAGAUGAGCAAAAGAAAAAAAUGCUGAGAGUUUUUAUUUAGGAGCUCUUUCCUAAAUGGGAUGUGCAUAUAAUAUGAAGUGUUAAGAUGUGCUGAAGUUAUAAGAAAAUCUUGUUGGUAGGAGAGACAAAAAGAGCUCUUUCCUCCCAAGGAGAUUGAGAACAGGCUGAUUUUGUUAACACAGUUGUCCACUUAAUAAUUUUAUUUAUUGUAAGGGACAGGGGAGAGAGACAGAGUAGCAGGGAGAGAGAGGAAGAGGGGGAGAUCUUUUAGCCACUGGUUCACCCCCAGAUGUUGCAAGAGCCAGGCCUGGGCCAGGCUGAAGCCAGGAGCCAGCACUGAAUAGAGGUC
rnacentral:lncRNA from 1 species